GGCUUAACACAUGCAAGUCGAGGGGCAGCAUGAAAGUAGCUUGCUACUUUUGAUGGCGACCGGCGCACGGGUGCGUAACGCGUAUCCAAUCUACCCAUGGCUCAGGGAUAGCCUUUCGAAAGAAAGAUUAAUACCUGAUGGUUUCGCUUUUCCGCAUGGUUUAGCGAAUAAAGAUUUAUCGGCGAUGGAUGAGGAUGCGACUGAUUAGGUUGUUGGCGGGGUAACGGCCCACCAAGCCCACGAUCAGUAGGGGUUCUGAGAGGAAGGUCCCCCACAUUGGAACUGAGACACGGUCCAAACUCCUACGGGAGGCAGCAGUGAGGAAUAUUGGUCAAUGGACGAGAGUCUGAACCAGCCAAGUAGCGUGAAGGAUGACGGCCCUAUGGGUUGUAAACUUCUUUUGUUUGGGAAUAAAGUGCUCUACGUGUAGAGUUUUGUAUGUACCUUACGAAUAAGCAUCGGCUAAUUCCGUGCCAGCAGCCGCGGUAAUACGGAAGAUGCGAGCGUUAUCCGGAUUUAUUGGGUUUAAAGGGAGCGUAGGCGGACCUUUAGUCAGCGGUAAAAUGUCUAUGUCCAACCCUGGCCCGCCGUUCAG
rnacentral:rRNA from 1 species